rnacentral:lncRNA from 1 species
CUCUUGGCCUGCAGAGCCCAGGUUUUCUGAGCAAGAUCACUGGGGCUGUCUUGCCUGGAGAUGAGAGGGGGCAAAAACCGAAAGUGCUUGGCCGCCCUUCCUGAGCGGGCCUUUUGGUGAGGGGAGGGGAGGAGAAGCCAAGUGACCCACACCAGGAGAGAGUUGGAAGGGUGGUGACUGCCAGGAUCACCUCCCCGAGCGCCUGGGCAGUACGCCGCACUCAUUUCCCCUCUAACAGCGCCCAAUCGAGCAGAGGUUUCGAGUCAAACAAACAAAAACAAAAAGAAAAGAAAGAAAGAAAAAAUAAUGAUUCCUAGGAAAGAGGUGGGUUCCAGUCGCCGGCUGCGGGAGUGCGGGGUCCGCAGCGGCCUCCGCUUCCGCCCGGCGCCCAACUUGGCCCCAUGGCCGCUUCGCUCGGGCCGCGCCGCUGCCGCCCCCGGAGCCGGUGGGGAGCCGUGCGGGCGGGAGAGCCCGGAAGGAGCCCCGGGCUCCCAGGCCCCCGCCGGCGCCGACAGCGCCGGCCAGGAGCAGCCGGCCUGCUCCGGGUGACCGCCGCCGCCGCGCGGUCCCGGCACGAGCGGGUCCCUGCCUCCCGGAGCGCGCGUAGACCGGCAGCGCCUAAUGGAUUACAGCAGCCGCCCGGCCGACCGCCGCCUCCAGCUCGGCCGCCUCCGGGUAAGAGGUGCCCCCGCCCCCCUUUCGCCCCGAGCCCUGCCGGCAAGGAGCUCCAGGCGCCCAACUCCUCGGGCAGCUCGCUGAGGCUGGCCAGACCCCCUGCACUUCCCCGGGACCUGUGGGUGGCUGUCUGCGCCCCAUGCUUCCCAAUCACUCCUUCUCUGCGCGGGCGUCCCCUGGGGCCCCGGGUGGG